GACGAACGCUGGCGGCGUGCUUAACACAUGCAAGUCGAACGGUGAAGCACCUUCCUUUUGGUGGGUGUGGAUGAGUGGCGAACGGAUGAGUAACACGUGAGUAACCUGCCCCCUUCUUCUGGAUAACCGCAUGAAAGUGUGGCUAAUACGGGAUAUUCUGGGUCUGUCGCAUGGCGGGCCUGGGAAAGAUAUUGUUUCGGUGGGGGAUGGGCUCGCGGUCUAUCAGCUUGUUGGUGGGGUGAUGGCCUACCAAGGCGGUGACGGGUAGCCGGCCUGAGAGGGUGGACGGUCACACUGGGACUGAGACACGGCCCAGACUCCUACGGGAGGCAGCAGUGGGGAAUAUUGCACAAUGGGCGCAAGCCUGAUGCAGCGACGCCGCGUGAGGGAUGGAGGCCUUCGGGUUGUAAACCUCUUUCGCCAGUGAAGCAGGCCUGUCCCUUUUGUGGGUGGGUUGACGGUAGCUGGAUAAGAAGCGCCGGCUAACUACGUG
rnacentral:rRNA from 1 species